rnacentral:rRNA from 1 species
UACGUAGGGUGCAAGCGUUGUCCGGAAUUAUUGGGCGUAAAGAGCUCGUAGGCGGUUUGUCGCGUCGGCUGUGAAAACCUAGGGCUCAACCCUGGGCUUGCAGCCGAUACGGGCAAACUAGAAUUCGGUAGGGGAGACUGGAAUUCCUGGUGUAGCGGUGAAAUGCGUAGAGAUCGGAAAGAACACCAACGGCGAAAGCACUCUGCUGGGCCGACACUGACACUGAGAGACGAAAGCUGGGGGAGCGAAUGGG